rnacentral:rRNA from 1 species
GACGAACGCUGGCGGCGUGCUUAACACAUGCAAGUCGAACGGAAAGGCCCUGCUUUUGUGGGGUGCUCGAGUGGCGAACGGGUGAGUAACACGUGAGUAACCUGCCCUUGACUUUGGGAUAACUUCAGGAAACUGGGGCUAAUACCGGAUAGGAGCUCCUGCUGCAUGGUGGGGGUUGGAAAGUUUCGGUGGUUGGGGAUGGACUCGCGGCUUAUCAGCUUGUUGGUGGGGUAGUGGCUUACCAAGGCUUUGAGGGGUAGCGGGCCUGUGAGGGUGACCGGCCACAUUGGGACUGAGAUACGGCCCAGACUCCUACGGGAGGCAGCAGUGGGGAAUAUUGCACAAUGGGCGGAAGCCUGAUGCAGCAACGCCGCGUGCGGGAUGACGGCCUUCGGGUUGUAAACCGCUUUCGCCUGUGACGAAGCGUGAGUGACGGUAAUGGGUAAAGAAGCACCGGCUAACUACGUG